AUACGUAGGAUCCGAGCGUUAUCCGGAUUUAUUGGGUUUAAAGGGAGCGUAGGCGGACGCUUAAGUCAGUUGUGAAAGUUUGCGGCUCAACCGUAAAAUUGCAGUUGAUACUGGGUGUCUUGAGUACAGUAGAGGCAGGCGGAAUUCGUGGUGUAGCGGUGAAAUGCUUAGAUAUCACGAAGAACUCCGAUUGCGAAGGCAGCCUGCUGGACUGUAACUGACGCUGAUGCUCGAAAGUGUGGGUAUCAAACAGGAUUAGAUACCCUGGUAGUCCACACAGUAAACGAUGAAUUCUCGCUGUUUGCGAUAUACAGUAAGCGGCCAAGCGAAAGCGUUAAGUAUUCCACCUGGGGAGUACGCCGGCAACGGUGAAACUCAAAGGAAUUGACGGGG
rnacentral:rRNA from 1 species